GACGAACGCUGGCGGCGUGCUUAACACAUGCAAGUCGAACGAAGUGGCGAACGGGUGAGUAACGUGUAAUCAACCUGCCCUUCUGCGGGGGACACCAGUGGGAAACGACUGCUUAUCCGGCAUACCGAAGGGGGGGUGUGUGUUUGAUUAGAUAGUUGGAGGGGUAACGGCCCACCAAGGCGAUGAUCAGUAGCCGGGCGGGGAGGAUGAACAGCCGCAAUGGGACGGGGACCGGGCCCAGAGGCCUACGGGAGGGAGCAGUGGGGAAACUUCCGCAAGGGACGAAAGUCUGACUGAGCAACGCCGCGUGAGGUAGGACGGCCUUCGGGUUGUAAAGCUCUGUUAAUCGGGACGCGGUACCGGAAUAGAAAGCCACGGCUAACUACGUGCCAGCAGCCGCGGUAAUUC
rnacentral:rRNA from 1 species